UCUAGCUUGCAGUUGUGAAAUUAAAGUGACGAAUUGAGAAGAAAUUGCAAAGAUAUUCACAAAUAAUAUAAAAAUUGCAAAAGUAAUUAACAUUCUGAAGGAAUUUUGAAACAAAGAGCUUUAAGACAAUGUUGAAAAACACUUUCAAAAGGAAAGCAUUUCAAGCUAUAAAUGUGACGGAAAACUCUUCGGAACCGCCCGUACAAGUUGAUGAGCAAAUUAACGGUUUAAAAUCUAGAAUAGACAAGCUCGAAGAAACAAUAAAUAAGCAGAACGAACUGAUAAUGGGAGAACUUGCUUCCAUUAGUAUUUGCCUUCGCCAACUUGUAUCUCGCAAAGAAAAUGACAACUUGAGGAAGAUGUUUCCUAUUGAGACGGAAGAGGAGUUAAUAAAUUUAUAAAACAUUGAAAAUGUGGACGAGAAUGAAUUGAUCGCUACUGUCGGCCGCGUUACAAAAAAAAGGAGGCCUAGCCAAAAAUUUGCAUCACCUGCUUGGACCUAAUAUAAUACAAAGCUAUAAUUUUGAUGGUUUUCAAAAUAAGAAAUCAGAAAGAGCAUACAAAGAUAAACAACAUUUUUUACAAAGCGUGCGCAAGAAAUAUCACCACCCCUGAUGAGUAUAAAUCGGAAAUAAAGAGCGGUUUCAAGAAAGCCAAAAGUCGGAUUUACAAGGAGAAGCAUUUUCAAAAUAAGAAAUCAAACUAAUCUUUGAAAAUUUCCCUAUAAAAACGCAUACCUUAAAACUUUUACUUUUUAACUUUAACUUUUUUGGAAGUUUCAGAAUGAUUUUGUCCAUAAUUACAAAAAUUACUGAAUUGAUCAAUAUAUUUAAUUAAUCACUUUGAAAAAUAUCUGUAUACAUAAAUAUGUAUUACGUAUAUGUAAGUAAGAUGCAUACAGUAACUCACAUAAUUGUUCACAUGGUGAUAUUUUACAAUAUUUACCAAGGGUAAUAUAUGCACCGGAUUGUGGGUAUGGUCUUGCAUAUGAAUAUUUCGGUGCAUCUGCAAAUACUGUUGUAUUGUGUACAUUUAGAACAAUAAAAUUUGCAAAUGCACAAAAAUAUGGACAUGCAA